GACGAACGCUGGCGGCGUGCUUAACACAUGCAAGUCGAACGGUAAGGCCCUUCGGGGUACACGAGUGGCGAACGGGUGAGUAACACGUGGGUGAUCUGCCCUGCACUUCGGGAUAAGCCUGGGAAACUGGGUCUAAUACCGGAUAGGACCCUGGGAUGCAUGUCCUGGGGUGGAAAGCUUUUGCGGUGUGGGAUGGGCCCGCGGCCUAUCAGCUUGUUGGUAGGGUGAUGGCCUACCAAGGCGACGACGGGUAGCCGGCCUGAGAGGGUGACCGGCCACACUGGGACUGAGAUACGGCUCAGACUCCUACGGGAGGCAGCAGUGGGGAAUAUUGCACAAUGGGCGCAAGCCUGAUGCAGCGACGCCGCGUGAGGGAUGACGGCCUUCGGGUUGUAAACCUCUUUCAGCACCGACGAAGCGCAAGUGACGGUAGGUGCAGAAGAAGGACCGGCCAACUACGUGCCAGCAGCCGCCGCAG
rnacentral:rRNA from 1 species